rnacentral:rRNA from 1 species
UACGGGGGGGGCAAGCGUUGUUCGGAAUUACUGGGCGUAAAGGGCUCGUAGGUGGCCACCUAAGCCAGACGUGAAAUCCCCAGGCUCAACUUGGGAACUGCGUCUGAUACUGGAUGGCUUGAAUUCGGGAGAGGGAUGCAGAAUUCCAGGUGUAGCGGUGAAAUGCGUAGAUAUCUGGAGGAAUACCGGUGGCGAAGGCGGCAUCCUGGACCGAGAUUGACACUGAUGAGCGAAAGCUAGGGGAGCAAACGGG